GCUCAGAACAAGUUCCAUUUGCAGUUGAAUUUGUACUUUAGGACUCAGAGUACACUCACAAGCUACACAAUGUAUGAUUAUCAAAUGUAAAUUUGGCCCCUGGAAGCUGUUCCACAUUUGCUUCUUUGUGUAUGUGCAGAUGUACAGAGCCCAGCAGCACCUGUUACAGACCAGUUAUGUUAAACUGGGAUAUUCCAGGGAUAAAAGCAAAUGUUUGAGAAGGCUUUUAUUAUUUUUACUGUUGCCUUUUGCUAUGGUUUUGAUAUUUUAAAUUGGUUAUGUCCUAACAGGUCACUGGGCCCCAUCAGCCAAUGAACAAAUACCUAGGAGAGGAUCCCCAGCAGAGAUUAAGGAAUGACCUGUUCUAGGAAAGGAGAUUCAGUGCCUGUUGCAUUAUGUCAUUCUAAUCUUUCUUCUGUCUCAGCCAUCUUUAUUCCAUAUCAUUACUGAUAUUUCUCUGGAUUUCUUUGUCAUCCUUCUUCAUAACAUUUUAUUUAUUUGUUGUAGUUACUAAAACUGAGGUUUUUUUCAGUAAGUUUUUGUGGAGAUACAGAUUUUAUCUUUUUGACAAGUCUUCAGAUUCAUUGUGUUAAUAUACAGAAUUUAAUUUGGAAAAAGGAACUUUUUUUUCCACAUUGCUAUUAGGGACUCAGAAUUUAUUUAUUUGCCUCUUGUACACUUCCUGUCCUUGUGUUAUAUGUCAAGAUGUUUCUUGUGACCAUUCUGUAAAGGGAUGCAGUAUUUUUACUGUGUGUUGAACUCCUUGGCUUUAAGGAGGUUUUCUCAAUUUUUAUAUUAAUAUAUGUAGGUCCAAGUUGAUAAGUUUUCACUUGAACUACUGAGCAAGACAGGCUGAAGAUUCUGGUUGUAAGGAUGUGUGAAAAAUCCAAGUGUCUUUGGCAUACAGUUUGUAGGUUGGCAGCGUUUCCAUCUGCCUUGCUCUAACAUGGAUUUUAAUUUUGUACAAGGAACUGGGUGUAGAUGGAGUUGUGGUGUGAAAUGCUCAGAGUCAGCACUACUGAAAGCAGCGUAUGUUGAAGUGCAGCAUCUGUGAAUACAAAUCUGCCCUUCUGGGACACUGUGCAAAAUGAUGUAACGGAGUGAAAAAGCUCUGCAGAGAUAGAUUUCACCUGCUGGAACUGAGGCUUUGCUGCAAUACUUCCCAAGGCCCGGGUGUGAUGCUUUCCUGGCUGUGCAGUGGGAUGGUGUUGUAGGAAAAAAGCUGUUGGCAAUAACAGCUGGAGAUCCUGAGGCUUUAGUUUGCUGUCCUGCACCUGAGCUGCAGCUCUGCUACAAAGAGGCAACACUAAGGAAAGCCUUUAGUGCUUGGGGGCUAGGAUUCCAAGAGGAAAAUUUUCUUGACUUUGUUUGGGCAGUCCUUGAGGAUGGCAAGCAAAGGACCCACAGCUUCUGCAUCAACAAAGAGCUCCAGUACUGGAGGGACCAGUGGCAGCAGUAGCAGUAAUGGUUCUGGGGACAACACUAAUCAGGACAACACUUUUGAAUGCAACAUCUGUUUAGACACUGCCAAGGAUGCAGUUAUCAGCUUGUGUGGGCACCUCUUUUGUUGGCCUUGUUUACAUCAGUGGCUAGAGACCAGGCCAAACAGACAAGUGUGUCCUGUAUGCAAAGCAGGAAUCAGUCGAGAUAAAGUUAUUCCUCUCUAUGGAAGAGGUAGCACUGGGCAGCAGGACCCCAGAGAGAAAACUCCACCACGACCCCAAGGACAGAGACCUGAACCAGAGAACAGAGGGGGAUUCCAGGGCUUUGGGUUUGGUGAUGGUGGCUUCCAGAUGUCCUUUGGAAUUGGGGCGUUUCCCUUUGGUAUAUUUGCAACAGCCUUCAACAUAAACGACGGGCGACCUCCUCCAGCUGUUCCAGGGACUCCUCAAUAUGUGGAUGAGCAGUUCCUUUCCCGCCUCUUCCUGUUUGUGGCACUGGUGAUAAUGUUCUGGCUGUUGAUUGCAUAAGUCUUUUCCGUUAUUCUAUAUAUUCAUGACCAACAAGGCCACUGAAACAGUUACAAACUGCAUCCCCAUCCCAUUUUAAACCUCUUGGUGUCUGGUUCCAUAGCUACCUAUGGGCUUCAGGAAUUGGUGGUACCACAGCACAAUGAGGAAUCUCACAUUUUGCACCAGAGUCGGUAAUUAAAACAUUCAUUUAAAAGUGUAUUUCAGCUCAGAUAUCUUGUACAACAGGUUCCUGCCACAAACCAUGGGCCUAGAGUUGAGCUGCGCUCCGAAAGGGAGUGCUGCUUUGAAAUCCUGUGCCAAUCAGUGACACCAGGCCUGUGGGAUACACAGUUAUCCCAACAGACUGGGCAGGUAAGGAAACUUCUCCAGUGUGACCAGUAUCUCCUGCUUUGCAACCACGAUGGAUCUGCCAGAGCUGCAGAUGUUAUUUAAUGUCUCCAUCAACAUCUGACCUUCUCCAGGAAAUCAUCCCCAGCACUGCUGGGACUCUCUGGGGCACAGCACGUGAUGCAGGCAGAGCCAGCUCUGGAGACUGGUUCCAGUUUCUUUUCUGUCUGUUAUUUCCCAGCGUGAUGGAAAACCCUUCCUGAUGGUUCUCAUGGCUGUUAGAAGAAGGGAUACAAAUUUAUGCUGCAAUUUUUUAAAGCCUGAGCAUGCUGGAGCCAGCCACUGGAAGAUUCUCUGGCUGUGGAGCCAGGUGGGGUUGCUGGAGCCAGCCCAGUUCCUCACUGACAAACAGUGUUGUUUGUGUUCCCCUGCUCUGUGCAGCACCUGGGCUGCACUCCUGGAUAAUCCCCUCCCAACCUCGUCACUGUAGCGACAUUUAUCUUUCUCAAGGCUUUGAGACUUUCUACACAAGGUCAUGUACUCCAGAUAAAAUCCUAUUACAGACCUGAGAUCAGCUUGUCUGGGGAGAGGAACAAAAGGCAUCUUUACGUGAGUUUUGAGGUAAAACUUGUCAUACUGUAAAAUGGAGGAGACCUGAGAUCCUGCCUCUGCCAGCACAUGCUCAGUAGGGAGCAUUGGAAGACCUUCUCUCUGCAGGUGCACACAGACCUUCUCCCGUGCCACAGCAGAACAGCUACAGCGCCAGAGUCUCUGCAGCUAAAAUCUACCAAAGAUUUUAAUUUGAAGUGCUGGAGGAGACCACAACCAUUAAUGUGCUGAGGGGAUAUUGCAGAAGGUGAAGAGGUCUGGAGAUGUCUGGGAUGUGGGGACAGCAUUGCUGCUGGGCAGCGCCUGCACAAGACUGUCAAUGAGGCUUGGCACAUCUCCUGUUUCCGGUAGGUAAAGCUCAGCCUUUCAACCCUCCUUGUGCUGUUCCACUGGCUGGGACCUGCUGGUGAGGUCCCAGCAUGAGCUGGGGAUUCCUGCAGUGCUCUCUGUGCCUGACCUGUUCCCAGCUCCUUUGUGGCUGUACCUCAGGGACACCAUCCAGUCCCCAGAGCAGCUGGCACGGCCUGGCACAGAUAAAGUGCAAAUAAAAGCUCUGAUUUACUGCUGGUGGCAGAAGCCAUGGGUUACAUGUUUGUCUUCUGCAGCAUUCCAAAGCAGUGCCCAGGCAAUUUGCACAGCCUGUUGCUUUUUCCAUGUGUGGUAGGUGCAAGGGUGUUAUCAGGGUGCUGAUAGAGAUCUUGCCUUUUGCUUUCUCUCCUUUCCAGACUCUUAAGACAGACAAACUUACGAAAUCUGUUAGAUAAUGUUGCUGUCAGCAAGGACAAAAAGGGAUGUCUGCCAUGGUGGUAGGAGUAAUGACUCUUUUUGGUGUUCCAUGAAUACUCAGUCCAGUUUUCAUGCUCCAGAAUCACAUUUCUGAAGGGGUCUGCAUUUUUGACAGAGGUUCAGUACCUGCAGCUUCUACUGGCUUCUAUGUUGGCUUGAAUAUGGGGAGGUUAAUGUUUUGGAUACUGUUGAAGAAAGUGGGGAAAAAGGAAGCCAAAGUGUGGCUUUGGAGGAAUGUUUUCUGUGCCAAAGUAAGCAUCUAUUGUCCUCGUUUAAAGAACACAAGGAAAAAACCCCAACAAAAUACCCCAACUUUGUUGAAGUGAGGAUUGUGGUUAUUGGUAUAUUUAAAAAAAUAAAGAAUCUCAUGCUGCCAAAGCAGUGCAGGCUCAGUUGACUUGGAAAAUGCUGUUUUAGUGACACAUUAAUAAUCACAAUAACGUUUUGAUUUCAUUACAAAUCCCGGUAUUUUGGAUUUCUCUUGGUUUUAGUGUUCAUGUUUAGCCAUAAUGAAGCAGCUUUUCUUAAUCCUGGUUUUCUCUUUUCCCUGAAGGAUGAGUAUCCUGCUGAGCUUCCCUAGACUGUGCCAGUAGCCAAACCCCAAGCUGUGUGUGCUGGGAAGUGUGUCCCUCUUGCCAUUGAAUGUAUUUCUCUUGUGGGUCUUGAUUUGCAAAUGUCUUGGUGCUGGCAAAUCCUGCCUUUGGGACACUUCACAGAGGAUUUGUUUUCAUAGGUUAUAUUGUAUAAUGGAGGUCUGGUUGUUGCUUCUUGGCUGGUUUGUUUUACACAAGUGAUGACACCAACCUUUCUCUGAGCUGUGUAGUCACUUUUUGCAUUUGCUGAUGCUCUUCUUGUGCUCUGUGCCUUUGGCAAGCUGGAGCACCCAGUGGGGCUGCUGUGCUCAGUGAACACUUGGAACCUGCAGCAAAGGAAGCUGCCCUCCCCUUUUUCCUAGUUCCAGGGUAGGACUGUACAUGAAAACAAGUUUCCAGUUUGCCCUGUGUUCCUCUUUUCCUCCUGCUGUCCCUAAGCCAUGCUGAGCAGCGCUCCUGUGCCUGAUAUCCCAAAGGCAAACUUGAAAAAGCCUCUAAGGGUAGGAGGCUUUGGCAGUUGGGAGCUGUGAGUUCCGGCGGCUCUUGUGCAGUGUUUUUUCCAGUCUUCCUGGGGAUUAGCUGACUCCCUGGCCUGGCACAUAAUUUCUCUAAUGCUGCUGGCAUUGCUCCAGGCUCGUUAGCUCUGUUUAUUCUUGGUCAGGCUUGGCGCUGGCAGGAGCUGACGUACAUGAGCGUCUCUGAGGAUUUCAGUUUUUGUCACUUCCCUCCUUCCUCAAACUGCAUCUACAGGAGCUUUUGUCUCUGAAACCUGCAUUUUCUCUGCUGUGGCUGGAGGGAAGAGCAAAUCCCUGUUUGUAGAUCUUGGAUAUUUUGGACUGUUCUUUGGCCAGCUGGUUCCUUAGGCUUGAUUCUGAUGGGCUGGAUCUGGCUGAGGAAGUUUCUUAGAUGUUUCUGUCACAGUGUCUGUUGUGAAUUAACUCUGAAUGUGCUUUUGUGCCUCUGAGUUCUGUUGAGACAGCACACACUUCCAAAGGUCACUGCUUUUCACAGUUUGUGACUGGAUUUGGAAAUUGCAUUGCACAGAACUUCAACCAUUACACCAAGAAAGGGAAAGAUAGAAGUGAAAAGGUGCCUUUUUCCUAGGUCUGGAUCAUUUUUACCUCAGGGGAUUAUUGGAAGAGCUUUUUUGACCAAGAGCAUGGUGGUUUUAUUGUUUUCAGUCAAACUUUUUCCCAUAUUGCAAAAUAGAAGGUAAAGCCUUGAAUACUUUUGAAUAUAUAUCUAAAUAUACUUUUGAAUAAAGUAUUAUUACCAAUGUUUA